UACGGGAGGCAGCAGUAGGGAAUUUUCGGCAAUGGGGGAAACCCUGACCGAGCAACGCCGCGUGAAGGAAGAAGUAAUUCGUUAUGUAAACUUCUGUCAUAGAGGAAGAACGGUGGAUAUAGGGAAUGAUAUCCAAGUGACGGUACUCUAUAAGAAAGCCACGGCUAACUACGUGCCAGCAGCCGCGGUAAUACGUAGGUGGCGAGCGUUAUCCGGAAUUAUUGGGCGUAAAGAGGGAGCAGGCGGCACUAAGGGUCUGUGGUGAAAGAUCGAAGCUUAACUUCGGUAAGCCAUGGAAACCGUAGAGCUAGAGUGUGUGAGAGGAUCGUGGAAUUCCAUGUGUAGCGGUGAAAUGCGUAGAUAUAUGGAGGAACACCAGUGGCGAAGGCGACGAUCUGGCGCAUAACUGACGCUCAGUCCCGAAAGCGUGGGGAGCAAAUAGGAUUAGAUACCCUAGUAGUCCACGCCGUAAACGAUGAGUACUAAGUGUUGGGAGUCAAAUCUCAGUGCUGCAGUUAACGCAAUAAGUACUCCGCCUGAGUAGUACGUUCGCAAGAAUGAAACUCAAAG
rnacentral:rRNA from 1 species